ACCACCAAUGGCAGACACAGAAAGAAAACAGGAUUGACAAGCUGGCACCAUGUGAGCCCAUGAGAGCCAAACCAUGGCAAGGGGAUUGCAGAGAGUCAGAUUCUCCACUGAGCCCUGCCCCGGCAGGAAGGCAAGCUCCAGUCAAGGGUGGAACAAGGUGACGCCCACGUUCAGCCAUAGGAAGCUCGCACAUCUCCUGCCACCAGCCACGACAGCCCCCGUCCUGCACAGGCAGGCCCGAAUCUUGGGAAACACAAUGGCUGCCGCCAUCACAGUUAUAGAUAUUCACAGGUCUCAGAGAAGCCCAAAUGCAAUCCUAGCUGACACGAUAACGGAUAUUUAGCAGGGAGUGGAGAGCCCAGGGAAGAAUACUGUGAUGCUGAUGGGGAAUAUUGAUGACUCCCAGUUUGCAGAUAGUGGCACGUGGUGACACCUCCUCACUGUGUGAUCCAGGGGCCUUCCCUGAUGUGGUCCUGGAUGUUUCUGUACUGAUGGCCUCACUCCCCUGGCUGCUUGGCUCUGUACUGGGAUUUUCAUCUCAGGAUGUGUGAAACCAGCCUGAAGACAGUUCUUGUAAAAAUGUCCUUGAAACCAUGAAAUUGGCGCAAGACCGAUCAGAACUGAGAUAGGAAAGUCACUCAAAGAACUCGAAAGCCUACCAGGCCAGAAAGGGUGGUCUACGACUUAAUUGGUUGUAUCAACCCAUGUAAGCAAGGACUAUGUCCUUCAGAAAUGGAUGAACGAGAAUGGAAAGCUGGAGGAAGGAGAGACAGUCACACAUGGGCAGUGCUCAUCAGGAAGGGCUCUGCUUGGCAACAGUGCGUCUGAUCCACCUGUCAGGUAUAUCCUUAUUUUGAAGGUGAGACUUCCUGGGAUUUUGGAGACUGAUGCUAAACUCUGAGCUCCAAGAAAGCAGGAACA
rnacentral:lncRNA from 1 species